ACUACACGCCAAAAGUCAUCUCCACUGUACGAACUCUGACCAGAACUGGACUUAGGAGACAAAGUGGGGGGCAAGUCGCUGCUAUUGAACUACAAUGCUGAUACAAGGAUUUAGGGCAGUAAGAAAACGGAGCUCUGCAGCAGCAAAGAGGAGAAUAUGGUGUCCAACACUGGAUAGUCCAGAGCUAAGCCACAGCAACAGGAUUUCAGCUUCUAUGUAUAGCCAUAUCAAUCUGCCCAGGGCCUUCAGAAUCAAAUUCUCGGACAUCCUGACAAGCCAGCUUGCAGCCCCCCAUUUCUGAUUGGUUGAUCAGAGCAAAGAGGCAGACACCCUGUCCUGAUUGUUUUUUUGAUCAGACGAUCAAUCGAUACGUUACGCCCACAUUGGCAGACUGAUGAGAAAUCUCUGGGUCGGGUUGGAGCCUAUCCCAGCUGACUUCGGGCAAGAGGCGGGGCACACCCUGGACUGGUCGCCAGUCAAUCCAGGGCACAUAUAGACAAACAUUCACACUCGCAUUCAUACCUAUGGACAAUUUAGAGUCACCAAUUAACCUAACAUCCAUGUUUUUGGAGUGAGGGAGGAAACCAGAGUACUCGGAGAAAACACAACAUGUUUCAAGAGUGUCAGAAGUCUAUGACUACAACCUGAAGGCCGCAGCAGGUUCUUCAACAUGACCGAGAAGGGAGGGGUAAGGAUAUUCAAUUAGUUUUGUAGUGC